rnacentral:rRNA from 1 species
UAACCUGCCCAAGAGAUCGGGAUAACACCUGGAAACAGAUGCUAAUACCGGAUAACAACAGAUGAUGCCUAUCAACUGUUUAAAAGAUGGUUCUGCUAUCACUCUUGGAUGGACCUGCGGUGCAUUAGCUAGUUGGUAGGGUAACGGCCUACCAAGGCGAUGAUGCAUAGCCGAGUUGAGAGACUGAUCGGCCACAUUGGGACUGAGACACGGCCCAAACUCCGUACGGGAGGCAGAU